rnacentral:rRNA from 1 species
CCAGCCAUGCCGCGUGUGUGAAGAAGGUCUUCGGAUUGUAAAGCACUUUAAGUUGGGAGGAAGGGCAGUAAGUUAAUACCUUGCUGUUUUGACGUUACCGACAGAAUAAGCACCGGCUAACUCUGUGCCAGCAGCCGCGGUAAUA